UUCCUCUUCAGCACUGCAGCUCCUGAAACACUUGGUGACAUAUGGUAGCCUAUCUGUGAAGUGUGCUCAGUGCACUCCAUUUGCUUUCUCACUCUGCAGGCUGGUGCAUCGUGUUGGGCUUCGUAUUUCUUAAAGGGAGACUGAUAAACUGAUAGUUGGCCACCUGAAAUCUUUUUUUUGGAACAAGACUGGAACCUGACACAUCGGCCAGAACAGAAGGCAUGAAAGUGCUGUGACAGUGAUCCAGCCGGGCCAUUCUGUCCAGAGCCACGCAGCCCUGCAGCUGUUAGCCUGGAGGACUUCAUGGCCUCAGCCCGUGUUGUCGAUGGAGAAGAACUGGAACCAUUGAAGAGUCUUCAUGUUGCACACACUGUCUCCUUCACCAUCCAUGAAUGUGGGGACGCAUGGAUCCCACAUCCAUGAAUUGGGAAUGUGGGUGACGAUGGCUGUGGCAACAGAAGGAGGAGCACAGAAGGCUCCUGGAGGUGCUGUGCACUGGAAACAGGUUGGAUGUGUGCUAUUUGGGUGUAGCAGACAACACGGGGAGAAGUCUUCUGCAGAAGGAGGUGAGUGACUGAGGGGUAACGCGCUGGGUUUGAAUGGAACUAUCCGUCAAACCGUGAGGCCUAUUCUUUGGAGCUAUAUUUGCCAAGAACUCAAGUGUCCUGUAAAACUUGGAGCAUCUUGGAAGUGGGAGGAAGUGCACCCCAACCCUGACACUUUUAUUUUAGAAAAAGAAACCUAAGCUCAGAACAAGCUUCUGUGUUCUUAGAUGAGCCAGCAUAAGCAUCUGUACUCUGACUCCAACGCCAAUAUUUCUUCCUACUUCAGAAUGCUUUCAAACGUAAGAUGUCAUGAAUGCAAGCAAAGGCUUUCUGUGGGUAGCAAGCUUACUGCUAGUUUUGGGAUGAAAAGACCUGAUGCCUUGGGUGGUUUUCUAUAUUCAAACAAAAGAUGCAACAGAUCAUCUGCAGAUGACCAAUUGGUAUAAUGGCCAAAUGAUUUAGAGAAGUUGUUUUCAUCUUUUUUAUCUAUCAGUAGAUGGCAGGAGAUACCAUCAAAUCAAGUCAUGAAAAGGGGCUCAAAUGAUGGAAUUCAGUCAUUGUUCCUUGUAUUCCCUAGAAAGCUUGCUAUCUAGGGUAGUCAGGGUACUAUGUUGACACCUAGGGGGAGACUGUUUUUGAAUAUAGAUUUGGGUUCACUUAUUUGCUUCCCCAUUAAUCUGGUGAGAUUACAGCUGGUUUAAAACAAUAACCAAAUGUUGGAACUAAAUUUACACUCUUUAAAGAAGACACCUGGAGAAAUGAUUCAUCACUCAUGUUGCUAAGAUUAAUUGGGCAUUAUAAUUGUGUUAAGUGGAUUCACACACCAUGUAGGAAUCCAGGAGUUUCCUAUUUGCUUUCUUUUCUUUUCUUUUUUCUUUCCCUUUAGGCAGAGAAGAGAAAACAGAGCUAGCUAACUUUGGUGUGAGAUGGGGCAAUCCAGUAUCAUAAACAGCUUUAUCUAAGAUUAAUGCAGAUAAAGCACUACAAUUAAAAUAAUACUCAGUAAACGCAAGGAUAUUUUCAAAUGCCUGAAUCGACUCUGGUCUUAUGAGCUGAUAUUUCCCUACCCACAGAAAGGUCAUUUUCAUCAAGAUUAAAUUUGAUUUUACUUAGAUUUUUUUGGAGUAAAGGGUACUUAGAUGCACUAUCCUCAGGUUUUCCUAAUUUGGAGAUUAUAGAAAGGUGAAGCCCUUGUGGAAUUUUCAAGAAUUGAAGUUUUCAAGUCUUCAAGUGUGUUGUUCCCUUCUUAUGCACUUGUCAUCACUUAACACCUUAUGCCUGUGAUGCAAAGGAUUUGAAUCAACUACUUUAAAAAAAUCUCUUUCAUCGUUUGACCCCUGCUUUUUGGAUAAUUUAUGAGAAAAACAUUUAAUCGAUGUAUUGAUUUUUUUCUCUUUUAAACAACAGCUUAGCCGGAAACCAUGCAUAGUUUGGGAAGGCUAACUGCAGGGGCAUGGACAUGGGUGUCACACCCAACCACAGCCUUGGUUUGUGCCACCUCCAAUCACAAGGGCACCAAGGGCCUGCUGGGUCCCCAGGUGGGAAUGAGUGCCACAGAAAGCCCCAAAUCCUUGAAACAGAAAGAGAACUGAAUUUGCUUGCAAGCAGACUCUACUUACUUUUCCUUGUAAAUUUCUCCACUGGGGAAAAGAUUUUACUCAAAAGCACAUUAUUUUCUCCUUUGCAAAACAUCCAAGUGGUGGCUGCUACCAAAAUAUGCUACCAGAGAACAUAAAAACAGUCUUCUGAGUCUGUGUUAGGCCACUUGAAAGUCUCACUUGACAACCCCUCAGUGUUACUGAGCAGCACCAUGCUGUUGUACUGCGGGAGAUGGCACUUCUGGGUCAAGGUAUGGGGCCUCCAGGUGUGGGAAACUAGGAAGAACCAAGCAGUCCUGGCAUGGACACAGGAUAGCCAGUGUGCCCUCUUUCAGUGGUUUUACCAUUUGUUGUAUGUUGUAAAUCUCCUACAACUUAUUUAUUUCAUUGUCAGGGACAUCCUUUCACAAUGAAAAGUGGCAAUAAGUUUCAUGGUCACCCAUUCAUGCCCCUACUUCUUCCCAAAGACUCUACUUUCCUGUUUUGUGUGUACCAUUAUCAACAACAUACGGUCAAUUGCUAAGGAUGCAUGUUGAUCUUGCCUAUAUUGUUCAGCUUUCUCAUUCUGUGAUCAGCUGGCUUCAAGGCAGAAACAUCAUGGUGGAAGGGUACAGUGGAGCAAAGAUGCUUAGUUCACGGCAGCCAGGAAACAAGUGUAACAGUGCCAGAGAGGAAGGGGGCCUGGGACCAUAUACAGAACCCAAGUCAUGCCUACAUGACUGACCCAGACACACCUGGAGGUGUGCUCCACCAGUUCCCCAUGUUGAUCCCAAAGCCAAUCAAAUCAACACUUCAUUCAGGCCACAUCUCACUCCUUGUCAAGUUCAUGCCUGAAUACAUCCCUUUAACCACACUUAAUCUCUAAAUAAAGACAACACUGUAUUCAUAAUUCUGACUAACAUAGUACAACUCUACUGCAUACAACCAGAAAUGCAACAAUCCCUUCCUCAAAGCCUCAACAGUUUUAGCAUUUCUCAAUGUCAGCAUUUUUCAAAAGUCCAAGUCAAUGUUUCCUCUCAGACUCAAGGUAAAUUCUUAGCUGUGAACUUCUGUAAAAAUAAAAUAACAAGUUGUUCAUUCCUAAGGUAUAAUGGCAUAGGGUCAACAUUCCUAUUCCAAUAGGGAAGAAAGGGGCUAGAAAACAAACCAAAGCAAGACUGAAAACCAGCAGGACAAACAUUAAGUCCUAUAUCUUGGUACACAGCAUCUGGGCACAUGCUAAUGAGAUGUGAAUUCCAGAGCUUGGAUGGCCCCACCCCUAUGGGCUCACUGGUUGCUCCCCACGUGUUCUUUCUCUGGGGUUGGCUCCACUCAUGGUCUGCAGCUUUCCUUGGCAGAUGUUCCACAUUACCACUAUCUCUGACUUCCUGGGAUCUCCACUGCACCUUUGGUUUCAUUCCUAUAGCUUCAUGUACUGCCCUCUGAGGGGCUUCUUGCCUGGUCUCCCAGGCCUUCCUUUGAUGUCUGGGUGGAAGCCUCACUGACUCCACAACUCUUGCAUUCUACAUGCUAGUAAACCCAGCAUCACAGGGAGGGUGUCAAGGUUGGCUGACACCUUAAGCAGGAGUCAGGGCCCAUUGGACUAUGGCUAUGGUGACCUCUGAGUGCCUGGAUAACUGAGCAUAGUGAAAUGAAUCCUAGGGAACUAAUUCCCUAGGAAGCCCUUCUUGAGUAGGGGUCCCAGGCUUCUCAAAAGGUUUGUACUUUUGCACCCAUGAGUCUGUGAUGCAUGGGAUCUCACUAAAUUCUGAGGUGCCCUGCGGGCAUCUUUCUUCUGGUUCCUGUACAAAGUACUUGAUUUUUUUUUCCUCCCAGUACCGGGGAUCCAACUCAGGAUCUUGUGCUUGCCAAUCUGGCACGGCACCACUGAGCUACAUCCCUGGCCAACUUGAUUUCUUUUUAAUGGAACUAAUCUCUUCAACAAUCACAACUUUUUUGGCCCCAACUUUAAUUAAGAAUUUAUUUAAAAAGUUUUCAUUUUUAGAAAUAAAGGUUUAAAAAACAAAAAUUUCCAAAACCAGUAAUUCUGUUAUAUCCUAAUUGUUUAGAAUUUUUCUAUAAACUCCAAAUAAGUAAAUAAUAAAAAAAUAAUUUCCAAAUCUUACAGAACAAAAAGAAAACCACAUUAAUCAUUAAAUACUUUUGGAUUUGCUUUACUUCUCCCAGGUUGAAUUCACAUAUAUAAAAACUGAUGUCCUUUACAUUCUGAAUCUCAAAUCUUCAACAGUCAAGUAAUUAUACAGUUAUAUGUAAAGUAUGUAUUUCAUAUUUACUUGCCAUAGAAAGCAGAAUGGAGAAUAAUACUGUGAUGUUUAAGAAAAUGCUGUUUCAAAAAUGUUGACUAGGUUCUUCUCUCUUUUAAGGUAUAUAUAGCUUUUUAGAUGUUAAACCUUUUGAAGGUUAUUUUAGAAGGGAUGUGAAGUGACUAGUUUAUUUCAGAUUUAGUGAAGAGUAAUUUGUCAGUAAUCUCAAAAAUCCAAGCCAGGAGAGGAUCAUUUUCUUUCUUUUUUCUUCAUGUGCUCAUUUCCUUCGUAAGGAAGGCCUGAUGCAGUAAGAGGAUACAUUUCACAAACUUCUAACACAGGUUUGUGAAUUGUCAGCUAAAGACACCACCUCUGAUGUGGAUGGUUUCAUUCAAUCUAUGUUCUACCAACUUUAUAUCUUCUAGAUCAUCUUUUAUAAUGCUAAUCAAGUGGCUAAGGCCUUCCUUUUGUUGGUUCAAAUGCUGUUUGAUCUCAUGUAACAGAUCUGCAUCUAUGUAAUAUCUUUCUUCAGAUCUGACUGCUCCAAAAUGGUUCUGCAUCCUGAUUUGGGACAUCAGUUCGUUUUGGCCCCAACUUUAUAUGUGCUUCCUUUGGGUCAAAAUUUAAGUUUUUCAAAUGUUUUAAUCUGGUUUUUGCCCGUACUUCUCACUUUAAUUCUGCCUAAGCACACCAUCAGUGGUCUGGCAGAGGAAUUUUCAAGACAGCCAGCCCAUUGCCCUUAAUCUCAGUUUCCCACAAAGUCUCAGGACAUGGGCAAAAUGCAGCCAAAUUGUUUUUUGUCAGCUUAACUCACAUAGCCUCUAGUCCAGCUGCCAAUGUAGUCCUUGUUCCCAGCUGACCCCUCUUGAGCCUAGCUUUUACUGCCUGCAUUCUUAUCAGCAUUUUGACCUUCUAUGCUCCAAUCAGAAUCAUCCAUCCGGCUCUGCUUUCAGCAUUCCAAGGCUUCUGUAGUCUGUAUCUAUAAACCUUUCCAAAUCUCUCGCGCAAACCGACUUCCUAAACCACAUGUACAGGUACAGUUACAGUGGCCGCCCUACUUUUCACUAAUUUUCUAUAUUAGUUUUUCUAUUACUAAGAUACAAUACUUAAGAGCCUCAACUUAAAGGAGGAGAAGCUUAAUGUGGCUCGUGAUUUUGGGAAUUCAGUCCAUGGUAGGUUGGCCCUGUGUCAGAAACGUCAUGUCAGAAGACUGUGGUGAAGCAAAGAGAUUUAAUUAAUGGUGGCCAGAAAGCAGAGCAGGGGAACAGUGCCAGAGAGGAAUGAGCCAGGGACCAGACAUAAACCCCUAAGGCCAUACCUCCAUGACCAAUCCAGACACAUCCUGAAGUGUGUUCCACCCAUCCUCCAG
ensembl:lncRNA